CUGGUAUGUACUGGUCUCACUGAUUCCUCCCUCCUGAUGAACCUUAAUGCCAUUUAUUUGGUGUUUUGGGGAAUUUGGACUGUUACUUUGAAAAAAUUAGAGUGUUUAAAGCAAGCUAACGCUUGAAUACAUUAGCAUGGAAUAAUGAAAUAGGACGUUCGAUCCUAUUUUGUUGGUUUCUAGGAUUGACGUAAUGAUUAAUAGGGAUAGUUGGGGGCAUUAGUAUUCAAUUGUCAGAGGUGAAAUUCUUGGAUUUAUUGAAGACUAACUACUGCGAAAGCAUUUGCCAAGGAUGUUUUCAUUAAUCAAGAACGAAAGUUAGGGGAUCGAAGACGAUCAGAUACCGUCGUAGUCUUAACCAUAAACUAUGCCGACUAGGGAUCGGAUGAUGUUAAUUUUUUAAUGACUCAUUCGGCGCCUUACG
rnacentral:rRNA from 1 species